AUGUUUUUUUUUUUUUUUUUUUUUUUUUUUUUUUU
rnacentral:ribozyme from 1 species